AACUAAACAGGAUUCCCUUAGUAAUGGCGAACGAACAGGGAUCAGCUUGGGUUGGAAACCGGGGCUUCUGCCUUGGAUUGUGGCCUUUAGACAUACUACCAACGGCGGCGCGAGCGUAAGCCUCUUGGAACAGAGCGUCUACGUGGGUGAGAAUCCUGUGUUUCGCUUGAUGCCCGCCGUGCACGGUACUUGCUCUCAGAGUCACGCUCCUCGGAAUUGGAGCGUAAAUUGGGUGGUAAAUUUCAUCUAAAGCUAAAUACAGGCUCGAGACCGAUAGCAAACAAGUACCAUGAGGGAAAGAUGAAAAGGACUUUGAAAAGAGAGUUAAAAGUGCUUGAAAUCGCUGAACUGGAAGCGAAUGGAACUAGUGCUCUGGUUGAGAUUGCUG
rnacentral:rRNA from 1 species